AUGGAGAGAUAUAGGGAGCAAAAGAAGGACUUGCAUAUGGUGUUCAUUGACUUGGAGAAGGCCUAUGAUAAGAUACCGCGGAAUGUCAUGUGGUGGGCCUUGGAGAAACACAAAGUCCCAACAAAGUACAUUACCCUCAUCAAGGACAUGUACGAUCAUGUUGUGACAAGUGUUCGAACAAGUGAUGUCGACACCGAUGACUUCCCGAUUAAGAUAGGACUGCAUCAGGGGUCAGCUUUGAGCCCUUAUCUUUUUGCAUUGGUGAUGGAUGAGGUCACAAGGAUAUACAAGGAGAUAUCCCAUGGUGUAUGCUCUUUGCGGAUGAUGUGGUGCUAG
rnacentral:rRNA from 1 species